rnacentral:lncRNA from 1 species
AGUGCCGGCUUCCACACCCUCCCGCUGCAGCUCCAGCAGUUCCCUCCGCAGCGCGUCGCGCUCGCCCUCGGCCAGGGCUGUGGACCAGUUCAGUUCAUCUAGCUGCUGUCGUAGGCUGCGCGCCUCCUCGGCGUAGAGUGCCUGAUCCUCAGCCCAGCGGUCCUCCCGGCUCAGCCGGCUGCGCAACUCCUCCUCCAGUAGCAGGUUCUCGCGCUCCAGCUCUCGCACCCGGCACACGUAGUCGUAAAGCCGGGCGUUGAGCUCCUGCAGCUCCGCCUUUUCAGAGCCCGUCUGCAGCCGCCAGGACAGCAUCUUGCUGGGUGUGCCGGACCCUUUCGAUUAGCCGCUUGCCUCCUGCCCUGAUCUUGUCCCCUCCGCCCCGCCGCGCCGCGCCCGCCGCGCCGCUGCCUCGGAGGCCCUUGGACUGGCGCACCGACUGGCGAGCUUCCCCACUUAGUGGCCCGGUCGCGCGGCUGUGGACUUGGGCCAUCGCCUCCAGCCAAUCAGGACGCGGCCCGCGCGGCCACUGCGGCCGGACAGCGCCCCCUGCCGGACAGAUCGGGCCAUGGCGAGGCUGCCCAGCACUGGCCCCCCUGGUGGCCCAGGGUAAUCCCACGUGGGUUGUCGGAUUACUGCGUGCUGGCUAUCUGGGACACCUUAUGAGGCUCCCCGUUGCUACUCCUAGGGCGCAACUAAGGCACCCCUGAGUCCCAGCUUUCUUUAAUGAAAAAUAGUUGCCAUUAAAUGAGAGAUCCUUUUCGUAGAGGAAGCUUCUAAUUGGUUGCUCUGGAGAUGAGGGGCAGGAGGUGUAUUCUUUAAACUAGAGUUAUAGUUCAACAAUAAAGAGCUUGCCAGAU